rnacentral:rRNA from 1 species
CCUACGGGGGGCAGCAGUGCGGAAUAUUGGUCAAUGGACGAGAGUCUGAACCAGCCAAGUAGCGUGAAGGAUGACUGCCCUAUGGGUUGUAAACUUCUUUUAUAUGGGAAUAAAACGUUCCACGUGUGGGAUUUUGUAUGUACCAUAUGAAUAAGGAUCGGCUAACUCCGUGCCAGCAGCCGCGGUAAUACGGAGGAUCCGAGCGUUAUCCGGAUUUAUUGGGUUUAAAGGGAGCGUAGGUGGAUUGUUAAGUCAGUUGUGAAAGUUUGCGGCUCAACCGUAAAAUUGCAGUUGAAACUGGCAGUCUUGAGUACAGUAGAGGUGGGCGGAAUUCGUGGUGUAGCGGUGAAAUGCUUAGAUAUCACGAAGAACUCCGAUUGCGAAGGCAGUUCACUGGACUGCAACUGACACUGAGGCUCGAAAGUGUGGGUAUCAAACAGGAUUAGAUACCCGAGUAGUC